CAGUCGCCGCGGUAAUACAGAGGGUGCGAGCGUUAAUCGGAUUUACUGGGCGUAAAGCGUGCGUAGGCGGCUAAUUGAGUCGGAUGUGAAAUCCCUGAGCUUAACUUAGGAAUUGCAUUCGAUACUGGGAAGCUAGAGUAUGGGAGAGGAUGGUAGAAUUCCAGGUGUAGCGGUGAAAUGCGUAGAGAUCUGGAGGAAUACCGAUGGCGAAGGCAGCCAUCUGGCCUAAUACUGACGCUGAGGUACGAAAGCAUGGGGAGCAAACAGGAUUAGAUACCCCAGUAGUCCCUGUCUCUUAUAC
rnacentral:rRNA from 1 species